rnacentral:rRNA from 1 species
AACGAACGCUGGCGGCAGGCUUAACACAUGCAAUUCGAGCGCCCCGCAAGGGGAGCGGCAGACGGGUGAGUAACGCGUGGGAAUCUACCCAUCUCUACGGAAUAACGCAUGGAAACGUGUGCUAAUACCGUAUACGUCCUUCGGGAGAAAGAUUUAUCGGAGAUGGAUGCGCCCGCGUUGGAUUAGCUAGUUGGUGGGGUAAAGGCCUACCAAGGCGACGCUCCAUAGCUGGUCUGAGUGGAUGAUCAGCCACACGGGGGCUGAGACACGGCCCGGACUCGUAGGGGAGGCAGCAGUGGGGAAGAUUGGACAAUGGGCGCAAGCCUGAACCAGCCAUGCGGCGUGAGUGAUGAAGGCCCUAGGGUUGUAAAGCUCUUUCACCGGUGAAGAUAAUGACGGUAACCGGAGAAGAAGCCCCGGCUAACUUCGUGCCAGCAGCCGCCGUAAUAC